rnacentral:rRNA from 1 species
AGGCCACCACCAGGAGUGGAGCCUGCGGCUUAAUUUGACUCAACACGGGGAAACUCACCCGGCCCGGACACCGGAAGGGUUGACAGAUUGGUAGCUUUUUCAUGAUUCGGUGGAUGGUGGUGUAUGGCCGUUCUUAGUUCGUGGAGCGAUUUGUCUGGUUUAUUCCGAUAACGAGCGAGACUCUGGCCUACUAAAUAGUUGGAUCAUUGCUACUGUGCGCACAACACUUCUUAGAGGGAUUUUCGGAGUUCAGCCGCACGAAAUUGAGCAAUAACUGGUCUGUGAUGCCCUUAGAUGUACGGGGCUGCACGCGCGCUACACUGGCAAAAUCAGCGUGCUUGUCCUUACCCGAAAGGGGUGGGUAGACCCGUGAAAGUUUGACGUGAUUGAAAUCGCGACAUUGCUAACUAUUGUCCGUGAACGAGGAAUUCCUUGUAGGGGAGAUUCAUCAACUCAUUCUGAAAACUUCGCUGACCUGUGUACAGACCACCCGUCGCUGCCCGGAACUGAGGCAUUUCG